UGCCAGCCGCCGCGGUAAUACGGAGGGUGCAAACGUUGCUCGGAAUUAUUGGGCGUAAAGCGCAUGUAGGCGGACCAGUAAGUCGGAUGUGAAAGCCCUCGGCUCAACCGAGGAAGUGCAUUCGAAACUGCUGGCCUUGAGUACAGGAGAGGAUCGUGGAAUUCCCGGUGUAGAGGUGAAAUUCGUAGAUAUCGGGAGGAACACCAGUGGCGAAGGCGACGAUCUGGACUGAUACUGACGCUGAGGCGCGAAAGCGUGGGGAGCAAACAGGAUUAGAUA
rnacentral:rRNA from 1 species